rnacentral:rRNA from 1 species
GUGGGGAAUAUUGGACAAUGGGCGAAAGCCUGAUCCAGCCAUGCCGCGUGUGUGAAGAAGGUCUUCGGAUUGUAAAGCACUUUAAGUUGGGAGGAAGGGCAGUAAGUUAAUACCUUGCUGUUUUGACGUUACCGACAGAAUAAGCACCGGCUAACUUCGUGCCAGCAGCCGCGGUAAUACGAAGGGUGCAAGCGUUAAUCGGAAUUACUGGGCGUAAAGCGCGCGUAGGUGGUUUUGUAAGUUGGAGGUGAAAUCCCCGGGCUCAAACUGGGAACUGCCUCCAAAACUGCAUGACUAGAGUACGGUAGAGGGUAGUGGAAUUUCCUGUGUAGCGGUGAAAUGCGUAGAUAUAGGAAGGAACACCAGUGGCGAAGGCGACUACCUGGACUGAUACUGACACUGAGGUGCGAAAGCGUGGGGAGCAAACAGGAUUAGAUACCCCAGUAGUCC